rnacentral:rRNA from 1 species
AGAGUUUGAUCCUGGCUCAGAUUGAACGCUGGCGGCAUGCCUUACACAUGCAAGUCGAACGGAUCUAAGGGGCUUGCUCCUUAGGUUAGUGGCGAACGGGUGAGUAAUGCAUCGGAACGUGCCCAGUCGUGGGGGAUAACGCAGCGAAAGCUGCGCUAAUACCGCAUACGUCCUGAGGGAGAAAGCGGGGGAUCGCAAGACCUCGCGCGAUUGGAGCGGCCGAUGUCGGAUUAGCUAGUUGGUGGGGUAAAAGCCUACCAAGGCUACGAUCCGUAGCUGGUCUGAGAGGAUGAUCAGCCACACUGGGACUGAGACACGGCCCAGACUCCUACGGGAGGCAGCAGUGGGGAAUUUUGGACAAUGGGCGAAAGCCUGAUCCAGCCAUGCCGCGUGAGUGAAGAAGGCCUUCGGGUUGUAAAGCUCUUUCAGACGGAAAGAAAUCUUCGGGGUGAAUAUCCCCGGAGGAUGACGGUACCGUAAGAAGAAGCACCGGCUAACUACGUGCCAGCAGCCGCGGUAAUACGUAGGGUGCGAGCGUUAAUCGGAAUUACUGGGCGUAAAGCGUGCGCA